rnacentral:rRNA from 1 species
GACGAACGCUGGCGGCGUGCUUAACACAUGCAAGUCGAGCGGAUGAGUGGAGCUUGCUCCAUGAUUCAGCGGCGGACGGGUGAGUAAUGCCUAGGAAUCUGCCUGGUAGUGGGGGACAACGUUUCGAAAGGAACGCUAAUACCGCAUACGUCCUACGGGAGAAAGUGGGGGAUCUUCGGACCUCACGCUAUCAGAUGAGCCUAGGUCGGAUUAGCUAGUUGGUGAGGUAAAGGCUAACCAAGGCGACGAUCCGUAACUGGUCUGAGAGGAUGAUCAGUCACACUGGAACUGAGACACGGUCCAGACUCCUACGGGAGGCAGCAGUGGGGAAUAUUGGACAAUGGGCGAAAGCCUGAUCCAGCCAUGCCGCGUGUGUGAAGAAGGUCUUCGGAUUGUAAAGCACUUUAAGUUGGGAGGAAGGGCAGUAAGUUAAUACCUUGCUGUUUUGACGUUACCAACAGAAUAAGCACCGGCUAACUUCGUGCCAGCAGCCGCCGUAACAC